CAAUUGACUUCUCCACUAUUGGUUACAACUUGUCGUCCUCACUUCAGAUUUACACUGGUGCUGAAUAUGGUUACAUAUAUGCAGGCCACCUUUCUUUGCCAUCUUUAGAUUUCUUACAGGUGUUUCAUAAUCUUAGAGUACUAAGUUUGAGUGGUGUGGAUCUUUCUAAGGCUACAAACUCAAACCAGUGGGCUAAUCCUUUAUCUUUUCUGUCCAAUCUCCAGCGUCUUCAGCUGUCGAAUUGCAGGAUUUCCGGAAAACUUCCUGCAAAGCAGCUUCUCAACCUCACCAAUCUCUCUGUACUGAUGAUGGACUUCAAUUUUUUCGCAUCCCCGAUUCCUGGACAAUUAGCCAAUCUCACUUCUCUUUCCAGGCUCUAUCUCACCAAGUCACAUCUACAGGGUCCAAUCCCUUAUCUUCCUCAACUGACAAAACUUGAUGUAGGAAACAACUCUGAGAUGAUCUUUGAUUUGCAUUCCAUGUUUGCAGCUCCUUGGCCUCGAUUAUUAGCUCUUGAUAUCUCAUCAACUCAAGUUAUUGGAUCAUUUCCAACUUCUUUUGCCAACACCACUACUUUGACUCUUCAAAGCUUCCAAUUGUUUCCUCCAGGGGCCAAUACCUCCUCCUCUGAUGAACCUCUCAAAGUUGGAAAUUUUAGCACUGGAUUUCAACAACAUAACAGACCAUCUUUGGUCGGAUAUUUCCAAAUUGAAAAACCUGAGGUUACUCAAUAUCAUGCAGAAUUCUUUGCAAGGAUCCAUUCCCAGUUCAAUCCGUAACAUAUCUUCCCUCCAGUAUCUUUCAUUGGCAGGAAACCAUUUCACAGGAAACUCAGGCUGCAUCAGUCAGCUUUCCAGGCUGAAGUAUCUUAUGCUCAGUUCCAACAACAUGAAUGGAAUGAUCGAGUCGUUUGCAUCGUUGAUCAAGAGCUCGAAUCUAGAAAUGAUAGCUUUAGGAUUCAGCGGGUUGACAGUGAAAGUAGACCAAAAUCCAUUUCCACCAAGCUUUCAACCCCAGUACCUGGACUUAAAUGCAUGUCUUUUGGGGGGAACUAUCCCGGAUUUCAUAUCGAAUCUGACCCAGGUUAGAUUCUUGACUUUAUCCCACAACAACUUGUCAGGAUCAAUUCCCUCUUGGCUAUUAAAACUACCAAAACUCGGUUACUUGGAUCUGUCUUCCAAUCAACUCCAAGGAGUUCUCCCACCCCACAUUGAGUUACACUCAUUUGAGUUACCAACAACACUGAAUUUAGCAAGCAAUCAACUUCGGGGAUCCAUUCCUCCCCUGCUUGAGAAUGUCGAAGCUGUAGAUUUUUCGGGGAACAAUUUCACAGGCUACAUACCAUUAGAGCUUGGAAUUGGGGAAGUUAAAUAUUUAUCACUCUCUGGAAACAAACUUCAUGGUCAGAUACCCUCAUCUUUCUGUCAUUCAAAUAAUAAGUUGAUGCUCCUUGAUCUUUCUAACAACAGUCUGGAAGGAACAGUUCCCACCAGUUUGGGAAAUUGCACUUCUCUCAUUUUUCUGAAACUUGGAGGGAACAACCUUGGUGGAGAAUUUCCUGAUGGCUUGGAGGGUGCAAAAAGUCUGAGUUUUCUUGACCUUACAGGAAGUCAUUUUGGAGGCCCUUUUCCAGGAUUCAUUCUGAAACUUCAGGAUUUGGGUGUUCUUAAGCUGGGGUAUAAUAGAUUCCAAGGAAAGAUACCUCCAUCCAUUGGAGACCUCCAAAACCUCCGAAUUCUCGUCCUGGAAUCUAAUUUCUUCAAUGGUUCAAUUCCUCCAGAGAUAAACAAGCUGGAAAAGCUACAAUAUGUAGACUUGUCCAGCAACAAGCUUUCAGGUUCCAUCCCUGAAAGACUAGAUGGUUUGAAGAUGAUGAGAACUCGACCUCAGGAUGGAAAUCUCCUCGGUUAUGUCAUCUCAUCCAUGUAUACAGGAGUAGAGCUAGACAUGGUGAGUAAUGGAUUGUUUCAAAAAUAUGAGGUCGUCCGGACGUAUCUCAAUGGCAUAGAUUUCUCUGCCAACUCUCUUACUGGGAACAUUCCUUCAGAAAUAGGCCUUCUAAAGGGACUCUAUAUGCUCAAUCUGUCACACAAUCAGCUCUUCGGUGAGAUCCCAAUCACCAUUAGCGAAAUGUCUGGUUUGGAGUCCCUGGACCUGAGUUUCAACAACCUGAGUGGGAAUAUUCCUACAGCAAUACAUUUCUGGACUAUCUCUCUGCUUUUAACUUAUCCUACAACAAUUUCAGUGGUAGAAUUCCAACAGGGCAACACUUUGACACAGUGAACAUAGAUGGAUCAGCGUAUACCGGAAAUGAGUUCUUGUGUGGAGUUGCCAUCAAUAUCAAAUGUCAUGACAAUGAUUCUUCAGGUUCAGAAACGACUGUUGAUGUUGAGGAUUCUAGGCAGGAGAUGUUUUAUGCGGCUGUAGUUGGCUAUGGAGCUGGCUCCGGUGGGUUUUUCACUGUUCUUUCUUUGUUGAAGGAAAACUGGAGGAAGAAAUACUGGAGGACUGUGGAUUUGAUAGCAAUGGCAAUAAUCCAACGUUUCAGAAAACAGGAAAAUACUAGAAAUCAAAUCAUUUGAAGCCGAGAAUCCAUCCAAGUAUUUUCAGUUGAACUUUUUCGGGGGCAUGCAGUCGGGCGUGCUACUUCACAAAAACUUUGGCACAACGCUAAAAAAGAAUACAUAAUCCAUAAUCAUUUGCAGCAAGAUAUACAUUUCGGUGGCAGCUGCACUUCCAUAUCAAUCUCGCUCACUUUCCAUUUACAAGAAUGGCAUCCUAUGGCGGAGGUCGUAAAGACACUGGAGCGAUAGCUCCUUGUAUUGCUAAAAAAUUUCUAAAGGUGUUCCAUUGUUCCACUUUUUAGUCUCUCCU